UGGGGGAAAAUUAAUAUAAAAAAAUAAAUAAUAAAAAUAAUUAUAAAAAAUAAUUAAUGGGGGUUAAAGUAUUUUUUAGAAAAAAUUUAUUAAUUUAUAGUUUAAUAGUAUUGUGAAAGAAUUUUGAAAUAAAGUUAAAUAUCAAUUAUUAUUUAAGUAAAUUUAAUUUAUUGUAUCUUGUGUAUCAGAGUUUAUUAAUAAAUAUUUAUAAAUAAAAAUAUCUCGAAUUUAAAAGAGAUAGUUAAUUAUUAAAGUUAAUGUGACAUAAUUAUUUUAAAUAAUUAAUUUGAAAUGAAAUGUUAAUCGUUUUUAAAAAUAUCUAGUUUUUUUAGAAAAAAAUUUAAUUUUAAAUUAAUUUAAUAAUUUUUUUUAAAUUUUUUAUAUAAAAUUAUAUAUUUAAUUAAAUAUUUUAGGGGAUAAGCUUUAAAUUAAAUUUUUAUAAUAUUUAAUAAAUUAUUUAAAUAUUUUAAAAUUUAUAUUUUUUAUAAAUUAUAAUUUUUUAUAAAUAAUUUUAUUUAUUUUAAAAUUUAAAUUUAUAUUUAAAUUUUUAUAAAAAAAUAAUUUUUAAUAAUAAAAAAUUAGUUAUAAUGAUAAAAUUAGUAUAUAAAAAAAAAAAAUAAAUUAAAAUUAUUUAAAAUUAAUAAAAAGGAAUUCGGCAAAAAU
rnacentral:rRNA from 1 species